UACGGGGGGGGCAAGCGUUGUUCGGAAUUACUGGGCGUAAAGGGCGCGUAGGCGGCCUGCUAAGUCGGAUGUGAAAUCCCUCGGCUCAACCGAGGAACUGCAUCCGAUACUGGCGGGCUUGAAUUCGGGAGAGGGAUGUGGAAUUCCCGGUGUAGCGGUGAAAUGCGUAGAUAUCUGGAGGAACACCGGUGGCGAAGGCGGCAUCCUGGACCGGUAUUGACGCUGAGGCGCGAAAGCUAGGGGAGCAAACGGG
rnacentral:rRNA from 1 species